rnacentral:rRNA from 1 species
GUCUACGGCCAGGCCACCCUGAACAAGCACAAUCCCAUCUGAUCUCGGAAGCUAAACAGAAUUGGGCCUGGUUAGUACUUGGAUGGGAGACCACCUAGGAAGACCAGGUGCGGUAGAUG